rnacentral:rRNA from 1 species
AUUGAACGCUGGCGGCAUGCUUUACACAUGCAAGUCGAACGGUAACAGGUCUUCGGAUGCUGACGAGUGGCGAACGGGUGAGUAAUGUAUCGGAACGUGCCCAGUAGUGGGGGAUAACUACUCGAAAGAGUGGCUAAUACCGCAUGAGAACUGAGGUUGAAAGUGGGGGACCGCAAGGCCUCACGCUACUGGAGCGGCCGAUAUCAGAGUAGGUAGUUGGUGGGGUAAAGGCCUACCAAGCCUGCGAUCUGUAGCUGGUCUGAGGGGACGACCAGCCACACUGGGACUGAGACACGGCCCAGACUCCUACGGGAGGCAGCAGUGGGGAAUUUUGGACAAUGGGCGCAAGCCUGAUCCAGCAAUGCCGCGUGCAGGACGAAGGCCUUCGGGUUGUAAACUGCUUUUGUACAGAACGAAAAAGCCUCUUCUAAUACAGGGGGUGCAUGACGGUACUGUAAGAAUAAGCACCGGCUAACUACGUGCCAGCCGCCGCCGUAA